GGUUCCUCUGUCCAUGGGAUUGUCCAGACAAGAAUACUUGAGUGGGUUGCUAAACCCUCCUCCAGGGGAUUUUCCUGACCCAUCUCCUGAAUCUCCUGUGUUGCAGGUGGAUUCUUUACUGCUGAGCCACCAAGGAAGCCCCAGCAGGAAGUGAAAUAAUAAAUGCAAGAAGAUAAAGGACUUCCUUGGUGACCCAGUGGUUAAGAAUCAAUCUACCUGUUAAUGCAGGGGACACAGGUUUCAUUCCUGCUCUGCAAAGAUUCCACACGACCUGAGAACCACCCAAGAUACCACAUUACAUCUAGUCAUCAUGUCUUCUUAGGCUCCUCUUGGCUGUGACAGUUUCUCAGAUUUGUAUUCCUUUUGAUGACCUUGAUGGAUUUGAGGAGCACUGGACAGCUGUUUUAUAGAAUAUCCUUUACUAGAAUUUAUCCAAUGCGUGAUAAAACUGGAGUUAUAGGUUUUGGGAAGGAAGACCACAGAG
ensembl:lncRNA